CGAACGUGGGUAACCUGCCUUAUAGUGGGGGAUAGCCUUUCGAAAGGAAGAUUAAUACCGCAUAAGAUUGUAGUAUCGCAUGAUAUAGCAAUUAAAGGAGCAAUUCGCUAUAAGAUGGGCCCGCGUCGCAUUAGCUAGUUGGUGAGGUAAUGGCUCACCAAGGCGACGAUGCGUAGCCGACCUGAGAGGGUGAUCGGCCACAUUGGGACUGAGACACGGCCCAGACUCCUACGGGAGGCAGCAUG
rnacentral:rRNA from 1 species